GGGUGCGAGGAUACUGGCCAAU
rnacentral:miRNA from 1 species